rnacentral:sRNA from 1 species
CGUUAAUAGACAUUUUUCAAGACGAUUGUUUAAUAUUUUGAUUUUCUUACAACAUCAACCACAUGGGAAAGCUCAUUCGCAACAAUAGGCACUAGAUGAACUCACAGAGUUUAACCCAGUAAAAUACAUGGCUUUCAUCGAAGUGGCAAAGUUGUAAGAGAAAGUACAAUGAAACCUGUCUUCCAGGCAGGUCUUACUGUUGAGAGAAGGAAUCACAAUGGGUUACAUGAUGGCCUACGCGGAUGCUAACCUAACCUAGUUCGAUCGUAUUCUCAAAGACCGGUAAGCAGACAACAACAAAGUACAAGGACUUGCUGAUAUCAAGAGUUGUUUACAACUUUUGGAACCACCAUCCUAAGGCAUUUUUGUAUUAACUUUCUAACUCUGGUAAAAGCUUAUGAAAGAGUAUUUGAAAGAAAAAUUAAAACUUUCAAUUCCAAUGCACAUCAAUUUCCUUUGCCAAUAACAAAAACAAAAUCCAUGAACUCAUUCUAACACAUUCAGUUUGUCAUUCCGUGGAGAGUUAUGGCUCCCAGGUUUGAGGAAAUCACCACUUUGAAGAUAUUGAACAACUUUAUAGGUUUUUCAUUAAACGAACUCUCAAACUACAAGCAAAUACUUCAAACUACAUCCUCGCUCUGGAAACAGGAUAUGAACCAGUCUGUGUAUAUAUACGUACACACACACUGCAUCUGAAAAAUUUGGUCAAAGUACUUUUUGAAUUCA